rnacentral:rRNA from 1 species
AUUGAACGCUGGCGGCAGGCUUAACACAUGCAAGUCGAGCGGAGAUGAGGUGCUUGCACCUUAUCUUAGCGGCGGACGGGUGAGUAAUGCUUAGGAAUCUGCCUAUUAGUGGGGGACAACAUUCCGAAAGGAAUGCUAAUACCGCAUACGUCCUACGGGAGAAGGCAGGGGAUCUUCGGACCUUGCGCUAAUAGAUGAGCCUAAGUCGGAUUAGCUGGUUGGUGGGGUAAAGGCCUACCAAGGCGACGAUCUGUAGCGGGUCUGAGAGGAUGAUCCGCAACACUGGGACUGAGACACGGCCCAGACUCCUACGGGAGGCAGCAGUGGGGAAUAUUGGACAAUGGGGGGAACCCUGAUCCAGCCAUGCCGCGUGUGUGAAGAAGGCCUUAUGGUUGUAAAGCACUUUAAGCGAGGAGGAGGCUACUGAGACUAAUACUCUUGGAUAGUGGACGUUACUCGCAGAAUAAGCACCGGCUAACUCUGUGCCAGCCGCCGCGGUAA